rnacentral:rRNA from 1 species
GACGAACGCUGGCGGCGCGCCUAACACAUGCAAGUCGAACGAGCGAGAGAGAGCUUGCUUUCUUGAGCGAGUGGCGAACGGGUGAGUAACGCGUGAGGAACCUGCCUCAAAGAGGGGGACAACAGUUGGAAACGACUGCUAAUACCGCAUAAGCCCACGACCCGGCAUCGGGUAGAGGGAAAAGGAGCAAUCCGCUUUGAGAUGGCCUCGCGUCCGAUUAGCUAGUUGGUGAGGUAAUGGCCCACCAAGGCGACGAUCGGUAGCCGGACUGAGAGGUUGAACGGCCACAUUGGGACUGAGACACGGCCCAGACUCCUACGGGAGGCAGCAGUGGGGAAUAUUGCACAAUGGGGGAAACCCUGAUGCAGCGACGCCGCGUGGAGGAAGAAGGUCUUCGGAUUGUAAACUCCUGUUGUUGAGG